AGCUAACGCGUUAAGUGUUCCGCCUGGGGAGUACGCACGCAAGUGUGAAACUCAAAGGAAUUGACGGGGGCCCGCACAAGCGGUGGAGUAUGUGGUUUAAUUCGAUGCAACGCGAAGAACCUUACCAGGGUUUGACAUCCUGCGAAUCCCUUGGAAACGAGGGAGUGCCUUCGGGAGCGCAGAGACAGGUGGUGCAUGGCUGUCGUCAGCUCGUGUCGUGAGAUGUUGGGUUAAGUCCCGCAACGAGCGCAACCCACGUCUUUAGUUGCCAGCAUUUAGUUGGGCACUCUAGAGAGACCGCCGGUGAUAAACCGGAGGAAGGUGUGGAUGACGUCAAGUCAUCAUGCCCCUUACAUCCUGGGCUACACACGUACUACAAUGCUACGGACAAAGGGUUGCAAACUCGCGAGAGCUAGCUAAUCCCAUAAACCGUGGCUCAGUUCAGAUCGUAGGCUGCAAUUCGCCUACGUGAAGGAGGAAUCGCUAGUAAUCGCAGGUCAGCAUACUGCGGUGAAUACGUUCCCGGGCCUUGUACACACCGCCCGUCACACCACGGAAGUUGGCCACGCCC
rnacentral:rRNA from 1 species